UGUGACGUCAGAGUUUUAACUCUUGGGGAGCUUUUUGGACCCUUAUGAUAGCCCAAACAGCUGUGUUGAUGUGUUGUCGCCCAGACCAGCCAGGCCAUGGUUGUCCUGUUGGCCUCAAGAGGAAGACUCCAGUGUGGUGACGAGCUCCGUCCUACUUAUAUUAACUCAGACCCUAAAGUAGCAGGCAGCCAACAACUACCUCCACUCAGACACUAUUAAUACUGAUAAAUACAUUUGUCAACAUUUAUCAUCUAUAGACUCAGUUAAGCUGAUUGUUUCACCAGAAGAAUUCCUCUUGCAGUGUCAGCUUUGAGUGUCGUGAAGCCCAAGUUAGUGGUUGAAGCAUGUCAUGUAUGUUAGUGCUACAAAUAUAACACCAUGACAACACUUCAUAUCUUACAGCUCACCUCUACACCCUGGCCACAACAUCAACAGCUUGUAAUGUUAAUUUCACUUUGUUCAUUCACAUGUUCUCAUGCCUCAUUAUCAUCCUUUACAAUAAAUGCAAGCAAAGACAAGGGGGCAAUUUUGUGUUAAAUGAUAUUUACUUAUGACUUCAGAAUUUGCAAAUAGAGUAAUGCAAAAUAAUGGUGUGUAAAACACAUGUUUAAUAAUUAACUGACACUUUUGGGGAAUGUUUGUUGUAUUUUAACCAUUAUGUAAAUAUAUUCUAUAUUAUGUACACACUAUCUUAAAGGUUAAAUACCUGCAGUAGAUAUAACCUUUUAAAGGAUGUUUUAACUUUUGUACCUUUUCUAAUUACUUUCAACUGUUUUUCUAUUCUCUCCUAGUUGUGCAUUAACUUAAUAAUGUGUUGAUAUUUAUUUCAUAAUAAUAAUAUAUCUUCUAUUACUGACUUACCAUUACCUGUUGUGUAUCUCUCACUUUUAAAAUAUCUAGUACUACUAUUAAUCUGAAUAAUUGAUGAGUACAUAUAGAUAUCACCGAUAGUUAAUAAAAAACAUUACUCAAGAAGUAAUUGCUUGAAUUGCAUUUCCAUUGCUUGAAUUUGGGUAAUUCCUUGUAUGUGUUGUGAGCUUUGUGUGUGCAUAUGAGUACAGUCGACUCCCAGCUCUAAGUGACUAUAUUUUCCUAGAUAACAGGGAUAUAGCUAUCUGAGUGGAAACUUUAAGUUUAUGUACGAAGUCUGUGAUUCAUUCUGAAAUCAAAAAUUUAUUUAACGAUAAAGUUUUUUAGGAAUGUGACAAUUUUCCUGUGUAAUUAUAGUUUUGUCUUGUCAAAUAUUAUUGAGAGAAUUUCAUCCUCUAUAUUACAAAGAUUUUCACUGAUACCCAACCAUUUGAGAUUUAUACAGUUUCAAAUGUACAGCUGUACUCUAGUGUGCCAAAGAAACUCCUGAAACAUAUAAAAGAACAAAUAUAGUGAAAAGUGUCAGAAUUGUAAGUGUUUCAAUUGUGUCAUUUGAAGCUUGUCACAGGAAACUCUUCACUUUAUAUACUGUGCUACUGUGCACAUCUAUUCAUGUGGCAUAACAUUAUCUUUACACAGUUUACUACUUUCAUGGAGUCGGAAUAUUUGAGGUUAAUGAAUAUCUUGAAAAUAUUGAGUGGAACAUCUGUUCUUGUCAGUAUCACAGACAACCGGUACAAGUACUCUGCAGCAAAUUAUCAACAGUAUUAUCUGUCACUUCAUAGAAUAAGAGUAAAGUGCCCCUUGUGAGGAUAAAUUACUGAGUUCAUCUGAACACACGGCUCCCACUGUCCAUUACUGCAUCGUGUGCACAGUUCACACUCGCUCCGGGCUUUGUUGAAAUUUAGUAAAGAAUUAGAUCCAAAUUAGUGUUCACAUUAGCAUUUCACAAAAAAUCUUUUCUUUAAUAACAUAAGUAGUACAGUAUUGUGCUGUAUACUGUAUACAAGUGAAGCUGUAUUAAUGUUAAAUAUUAUUAAACAUAUGUAAUUUACCUAGUAGCAUGAAUGAAAGCUGGUGCAGGAAAAUUACAAUAUCAAAUUAAGAUUGUAUAAACUAAUUUUGUUCAAAAUCUAUCUAAAGCUUUUGUGAAUCUGUAUCAUAGAGAAACUGCAUCAGUGUCCAGUGUUUAAUAGACUCUAGUUAUAAAUUGGCAUUAGAAACACAUGUACAGUACAAGUUUUUGUAAAAAUGAAGCCGUAUCAGUGCUCAGAGUGUCUUAAAGACUUUUCACACAAGUCAUCUCUAGUAUACCAUAUGCAAGAUCAUUCAGGACAGAAACCAUUUCAGUGUUCAGAGUGUUUUAAAGGCUUUCCAAAAAAUUCAGCGCUAGUAUAUCAUAUGAGAGUUCAUUCAGGAGAGAAACCAUAUCAGUGUUCGGAGUGUCCAAAGUGCUUUACACUUAAGUCAGCGCUUGUACAGCAUACCAGAGUUCAUUCAGGAUGGAAACCAUAUCAGUGUUCAGAGUGUCUAAAACGUUUCUCAAGAAAAUUAUAUCUUGUAAAUCAUAUGAGAGCUCAUUCAGAAAAGAAAUGUUAUCAGUGUUCAGAGUGUCUAAAAACCUUUAAGAAAACCUCAGAUCUAGUACACCAUCUGAGAAUUCAUUCUGGAGAGAAGCCAUAUCAGUGUUCAGUCUGUCUAAAUGGCUUUUCACAUAAAUCAACUCUAUUACAACAUACUAGAGUUCAUGCAGGAGAGAAACCAUUUCGAUGUUCGGAGUGUCUAAGAGGCUUCUCUAGAAAUUCAUAUCUUAUGAAUCAUUUGAAAGUUCAUACAGGAGAAAAGCCAUAUCAGUGUUCAGUGUGUCUAAAAGGCUUUCCAAGAAAGUCAUCUCUAGUAUAUCACAUGAGACUUCAUACAGGAGAAAAGCCAUAUCAGUGUUCAGUAUGUCUAAAAGGCUUUCCACUAAAGUCAUGUCUAGUACGACAUUUGAGAAUCCAUGCAAAAGAGAAAUUAUGAAUGUGUGAGUUUCAACAAAAAAAAGUUUACCUCUCACAAUGCAAAAACAUUAAAAAACCAACGUUGAAUGUAAUGAAACGCCAGUUUCUUGGUGAGCCCCAGAGGACACCUGAAGCUGUCUAUCUGAUCAAGUGCCAUAUUCCAUGAAAGUCAUUAGUCACAGAGUUCUUUGUUCCUACCAUGGACCAGAGCCAGAAACUGGUGUUUCAUUAUAUUCAACGCUGGUUUUCUGUGGGAGCCCUGUCGGCUUCCUGAAACUAACUACCCAAAGAGAAGGAAAACAGGGAAUCACCAGGGAGGCAGCAGUUCUGCAGAUCUCAACCCCAAAAAAGAGAUGGCCGUUCGCAACAAAAGCCCCAAAGCAACACAAGGCCACAGAGGGUCCAGGACAUUCACGAGAGAUCUGGUGGCCAGGAACUGGGCAGACUUCCAAAACCCCCAUGCUUGAAUACCCUCCAAA
rnacentral:lncRNA from 1 species